GAUGAAAUAGUUUAAGUAAAAAAACAAUAGGUUGUGGUUCUAUAAAUAGAAAUUACUUUUCGUCA
rnacentral:tRNA from 1 species